UUGUUUCCGAGGUGAUUCUAGAUCUUGGGAAGUAAACAAUAUGAACAAUAAAGCCCCACCCCCCCCCCAAGACAUCUGUGACUUGGGCAGAACUGAUAAUCAUCAAAGCGAAGUAAGCCAGCAUGGGUAACCUCAGUCACAAAUGGACAUUGUAUUAUCACUCUGAACAAAGUGGAGGAGCAUGGAGUGAGCAUUCCAUCAUGAGAUGUUCCUAUGUUCUGCCUCAUGAAGACCCAGAAUGCAUCAGAACCAAUGGAUGGUGGAUGGAGCCCCUCUGAAACUAACAUGUCACAGAAUCCCAGUGCCGGGAACUGGAAGCUGUCCCAGUCCAGCAGACACGAGCCGAAGAGAGGCAACAUGAAGAAAUGACCAGAAAGCAGAGAAGAAUGGAAAACAUAAAGAGGGGAGGGCGGGGAAGGCACUAGCAAGCCAGAGGCCCAGGGCUUUAAGCUACAAAGGGCGAGCAACCUGUUGUGCAUUAAAAAAAAAAAAAAAUUGGCUGGA